AUGCGGGCGGUGCUGGCACGGCCGGGGAGCGCGGCGGAGCAGUCCAGGCGGGCGGCGGAGGCGGUGCGGGUGGUGGCGAUCGGGAAGACCAAGCUGGUGUCCCUGCUGCGGCAGCUCUACGACGCCGGCCACCGCUGCUUCGGUGAGAACUACGUCCAGGAGUUCGUCACCAAGGCGCCGCAGCUUCCAGAAGAUAUCCGGUGGCAUUUCGUCGGGCACUUGCAGAGCAACAAGGUGAAAUCGCUUGUAGGAUUGUUGUUCUUUGCCAUAACACCACAUCUCACUCCGCGCAUCAUCUCUGGACACUGCUCUUCCGCUGCUGCAACCCAGCUAGCACCAAUGACGCCAUGCAUGGAGCAAGUCAAGGUUUUUUGUUUUCGUCACUCCUUUGUUAUAUGGAAGAAGACUUCAUGGUUAGCAUUAUUUAUUAUAACACAUUCAUAUAAGAUUUUCUUGCCACUGUAA
rnacentral:rRNA from 1 species